rnacentral:rRNA from 1 species
GUGAGGAAUAUUGGUCAAUGGACGGAAGUCUGAACCAGCCAUGCCGCGUGAAGGAUGAAGGCGUUCUGCGUUGUAAACUUCUUUUAUUUAGGAAGAAACCACCGAUUUCUAUUGGUGUUGACGGUAUUAAAUGAAUAAGCACCGGCUAACUCCGUGCCAGCAGCCGCGGUAAUACGGAGGGUGCGAGCGUUAUCCGGAUUUACUGGGUUUAAAGGGUGCGCAGGCGGUCUUAUAAGUCCGGGGUGAAAUACUACAGCUCAACUGUAGAACUGCCUUGGAUACUAUAGGACUUGAAUCGAGUAUAGGUCAGCGGAAUACAACAUGUAGCGGUGAAAUGCAUAGAUAUGUUGUGGAACACCGAUUGCGAAGGCAGCUGACUGGGCUUGAAUUGACGCUCAGGCACGAAAGCGUGGGUAGCGAACAGGAUUAGAAACCCGGGUAGUCC